rnacentral:rRNA from 1 species
CAGCCGCCGCGGUAAUACGAAGGGGGCUAGCGUUGUUCGGAAUUACUGGGCGUAAAGCGCACGUAGGCGGAUAUUUAAGUCAGGGGUGAAAUCCCAGAGCUCAACUCUGGAACUGCCUUUGAUACUGGGUACCUUGAGUAUGGAAGAGGUGAGUGGAAUUCCGAGUGUAGAGGUGAAAUUCGUAGAUAUUCGGAGGAACACCAGUGGCGAAGGCGGCUCACUGGUCCAUUACUGACGCUGAGGUGCGAAAGCGUGGGGAGCAAACAGGAUUAGAUACCCCGGUAGUCCCUGUCUCUUAUAC